AUUGAACGCUGGCGGCACGCUUUACACAUGCAAGUCGAACGGUAACAGGCCGCAAGGUGCUGACGAGUGGCGAACGGGUGAGUAAUGCAUCGGAACGUGCCCAGUCGUGGGGGAUAACGCAGCGAAAGCUGUGCUAAUACCGCAUACGAUCUAUGGAUGAAAGCGGGGGACCGUAAGGCCUCGCGCGAUUGGAGCGGCCGAUGUCAGAUUAGGUAGUUGGUGGGGUAAAGGCCUACCAAGCCGACGAUCUGUAGCUGGUCUGAGAGGACGACCAGCCACACUGGGACUGAGACACGGCCCAGACUCCUACGGGAGGCAGCAGUGGGGAAUUUUGGACAAUGGGCGCAAGCCUGAUCCAGCAAUGCCGCGUGCAGGAAGAAGGCCUUCGGGUUGUAAACUGCUUUUGUACGGAACGAAACGGUCUGGGUUAAUACCCUGGGCUAAUGACGGUACCGUAAGAAUAAGCGCCGGCUAACUACGUGCCAGCCGCCGCAGUAAAAC
rnacentral:rRNA from 1 species